UACGAGGGGGGCUAGUGUUGUUCGGAAUCACUGGGCGUAAAGGGAGCGUAGGCGGGAGCCUAAGUUGGGUGUUUAAUUCCGGGGCCCAACCCCGGGCGUGCACUCAAAACUGGGUUUCUUGAAUAGGGGAGAGGUCGGUGGAAUUGGAGGUGUAGCGGUGAAAUGCGCAGAUAUCGGGAGGAACACCUAUGGCGAAGGCAGCUCGCUGGGACGUUACUGACGCUGAGACGCGAAAGCGUGGGGAGCAAACAGG
rnacentral:rRNA from 1 species